rnacentral:rRNA from 1 species
AGGAUGAACGCUGGCGGCGUGCCUAAUACAUGCAAGUCGAGCGGUAAGGCCCCUUCGGGGGUACACGAGCGGCGGACGGCUGAGUAACACGUAGGAACGUACCCCAAAGUGAGGGAUAAGCACCAGAAAUGGUGUCUAAUACCGCAUGUAGCCUUCGGGCUAAAGCUUUAUGCGCUUUGGGAGCGGCCUGCGCAUGAUUAGCUUGUUGGUGAGGUAAUAGCUCACCAAGGCGAUGAUCAUUAGCUGGUCUGAGAGGAUGAUCAGCCAGACGUGGGACUGAGACACGGCCCAGACCUCCGUACGGGAGGCAGCGAGGUAGGGUAACUUUCCGAACAAGUCGGGACGAAAGCCUAGAGUGGAGCGAACGCCGCGU